CCUACGGGAGGCAGCCGUGGGGAAUAUUGGGCAAUGGUCGCAAGCCUGACCCAGCAACGCCGCGUGAAGGAAGAAGGCUUUCGGGUUGUAAACUUCUUUUGUCAGGUACGAAGCAAGUGACGGUACCUGACGAAUAAGCCACGGCCUACGACGCGUCAGCAGCCGCGGGAAUACGUAGGUGGCCAGCGUUAUCCGGAUGUACGGGGUGUAAAGGGCGAGUAGGCGGGACUGCAAGUCAGAUGUGAACACCACGGUCUCAACCUGGCGCCUGCAUGUGAAUUUGUAGUUCUUGAGUGCAGGAGAGGCAGACGGAAUUCCUAGUGUAGCGGUGAAAUGCGUAGAUAUUAGGAGGAACACCAGUGGCGAAGGCGGUCUGCUGGACAGCAACUGACGCUGAGGCGCGAAAGCGUGGGGAGCAAACAGGAUUAGAUACCCGUGUAGUC
rnacentral:rRNA from 1 species